UACGGGGGGGGCAAGCGUUGUUCGGAAUUACUGGGCGUAAAGGGCUCGUAGGCGGCCAACUAAGUCAGACGUGAAAUCCCUCGGCUUAACCGGGGAACUGCGUCUGAUACUGGAUGGCUUGAGGUUGGGAGAGGGAUGCGGAAUUCCAGGUGUAGCGGUGAAAUGCGUAGAUAUCUGGAGGAACACCGGUGGCGAAGGCGGCAUCCUGGACCAACACUGACGCUGAGUGAGCGAAAGCCAGGGGAGCAAACGGG
rnacentral:rRNA from 1 species